CAAUAGCGUAUAUUAAAGUUGUUGCAGUUAAAAAGCUCGUAGUUGGAUUUCGGGGUGGCCUGCCUGGUCCACCGCAAGGUGAGUACUGGUCAGCCGCCCUUCCUCUCGAAAGCCCCGACUGCUCUUCAUUGCAGUGGUCGGGUAUUUCGGGACGUUUACUUUGAAAAAAUUAGAGUGUUCAAGACAGGCUAUCGCCUGAAUACAUUAGCAUGGAAUAAUGGAAGAGGACCUCGGUCCUAUUUUGUUGGUUUCUAGGGCCGAAGUAAUGAUUAAGAGGGACAGUUGGGGGCAUUCGUAUUUAAUUGUCAGAGGUGAAAUUCUUGGAUUUAUGAAAGACGAACUAGUGCGAAAGCAUUUGCCAAGGAUGUUUUCAUUAA
rnacentral:rRNA from 1 species